UGAGUAUUUGCUCUUUCUGUGCAUUUCUCGCUCUUUUUCUUCCAUCUGUCUCACUGUAAUGCCUUCCUUCUCUCUUUCAUGCUCCCUUUUAGUCCUUUUGCUGCUUGGUUGAGCAGUUUGACGUUGGGAGACUCGGAGCGCAGGUCUUCUCCUGGCCAGCAGAGGGAGACGCUGUCUGAUCUCCCCUCAGACAACGCAGGGACGGGUUUAGUCCAAAGAUGUGUGGUUGUGCAAAGGGACAAUCUGGGGUUUGGCUUCACCGUCUGUGGCGAGAGAAUCAAACUAGUGCAGAAUGUUCGG